rnacentral:rRNA from 1 species
AGAACGAACGCUGGCGGCAGGCUUAACACAUGCAAGUCGAACGAUCCUUCGGGAUAGUGGCGGACGGGUGAGUAACACGUGGGAACGUACCUUUAGGUUCGGGAUAACUCAGGGAAACUUGAGCUAAUACCGGAUAAGCCCUUCGGGGGAAAGAUUUAUCGCCUUUAGAGCGGCUCGCGUUAGAUUAGCUUGUUGGUGGGGUAAAGGCCCACCAAGGCUCCGAUCUAUAGCUGGUCUGAGAGGAUGAUCAGCCACACUGGGACUGAGACACGGCCCAGACUCC